AUUGAACGCUGGCGUCAGGCCUAACACAUGCAAGUCGAGCGGAGCGGAGGACGGGUGAGUAAUGCCUAGGAAUCUGCCUGGUAGUGGGGGAUAACGUCCAGAAACGGGCGCUAAUAACGAAUAACAUCACAUGUGAGUAGGGUGGAUGAGCUAGUGGGUGGGGUAAAGGCCUACAAGGGCGCAGAUCCGUAACGGGUCUGAGAGGAUGAUCAUUCACACUGGAACGGAGACACGGUCCAGACUCCUACGUGAGGCAGCAGUGGGGAAUAUGGGACAAGGGGCGAAAGCCUGAUCCAGCCAGGCCGCGUGUGUGAAGAAGGUCUUCGGAUUGUAAAGCACUUUAAGUUGGGAGGCGUUACCAACAGAAUAAGCACCGGCUAACUUCGUGCCAGCAGCCGCGGUAAUUC
rnacentral:rRNA from 1 species